rnacentral:rRNA from 1 species
UACGUAGGGUGCAAGCGUUGUCCGGAAUUAUUGGGCGUAAAGAGCUCGUAGGCGGUUUGUCGCGUCGAAUGUGAAAUCCCGGGGCUCAACCCCGGGCCUGCAUUCGAUACGGGCAGACUAGAGUUCGGUAGGGGAGUCUGGAAUUCCUGGUGUAGCGGUGAAAUGCGCAGAUAUCAGGAGGAACACCGGUGGCGAAGGCGGGACUCUGGGCCGAUACUGACGCUGAGGCACGAAAGCGUGGGGAGCAAACAGG